GGUGAGGUGCCAGAGCGGUUGAAUGGGCCGGACUUGAAAUCCGGUGUGCCUUUCGGGGUACCGUGGGUUCGAAUCCCACCCUCACCG
rnacentral:tRNA from 1 species